rnacentral:tRNA from 1 species
ACAUAGCUCAGGGAUAGAGUGCUCGCCUAACACACAAAAAGUCCUAGGUUCAAUCCCUAGCAAUGUA